CAUGGACUCUGCAGGUAUUGCUUUCCCCUUGUGAGUUAAAGUCCCUGGAUUGAGAAGGAGUGCAGUCUGACAGAGAGGGGUGGGGGAAUCCACUCCAGCCUUGGAGAAAUUUAAAGAAGCUGCUUCAAAAUGCAUGUCUGUUAAGCUACAAAAGUGUGUGUGUAUGCG